rnacentral:rRNA from 1 species
UACGGAGGGAGCUAGCGUUAUUCGGAAUUACUGGGCGUAAAGCGCACGUAGGCGGCUUUGUAAGUUAGAGGUGAAAGCCUGGAGCUCAACUCCAGAAUUGCCUUUAAGACUGCAUCGCUUGAAUCCAGGAGAGGUGAGUGGAAUUCCGAGUGUAGAGGUGAAAUUCGUAGAUAUUCGGAAGAACACCAGUGGCGAAGGCGGCUCACUGGACUGGUAUUGACGCUGAGGUGGCGAAAAGCGUGGGGAGCAAACAGGG